rnacentral:rRNA from 1 species
UUUGGGGCACACUUAAGAAAAUGUGGAAUAGUUUCACAACUCACGCCGCCUGGAACACCUCAGCGUAAUGGUGUGUCCGAACGUCGUAAUCGCACUCUGUUAGAUAUGGUGCGAUCUAUGAUGUCUCUUACCGAUUUACCGCUUUCCUUCUGGGGAUAUGCUUUAGAGACUGCCGCAUUCACUUUAAAUAGGGCUCCGUCGAAAUCCGUUAAGACGACACCGUAUGAAUUAUGGUUUGGGAAGAAACCUAAGCUGUCGUUUCUAAAAGUUUGGGGAUGCGAUGCUUAUGUCAAGAAACUUCAACCUGAAAAGCUC